CCUCCCUAGGUCGGCGGCAGCCAGGAGUGCUGAGGAGGGUGAAGCUCCUGGUCUGGUAGCCAACAGCCCUGGGUGGCCACCUCCUGCCAAGUGAGGCCGGCUGGGUGGUGACCGCCCUUGACCCUGGUCCCUCCAGCUUUGCCAGGGCCUCCCCGAUCCCUGCUGGGCUGUCUGUCCCUCCACCGUUCAAGGUUGUGGCUUCUGAAAGACCCGCUGCUCCCUCUUGGGGAGCUGAGGCUGUGUGGCUAGAGACAGCCGGCAGCCGGCAGCCGCCCCGCGCCUGGGGGAGCUGCGUGCACCCCGCUGCCGCUGAGGAGGACCUCCCGGCCGGAGUCUGCGGAGCCGUUCUUGCCGAUUCUUCGUUCUUACAGCCAGCAUGCACCCAGCUUCCCUGUCUAUGAGCUGGGCUCCUCCAGGACUGUCACCCAAUUUCCCCGUGUGGCUUUCACCAGUCAGUGACCACUGGUGGUGUCUCCUGCCUGCCCUGAGCAGGGCUGUUGGUGGCCAGGACAGCGUGAGGGGCCCUGCCUGUGGAGAGGACGUGUGACCUGUUCCCAGGGAGUGGAGGGGAGCCCGGGCCCUGCAGAGGAGGCGGGGGUGUGAGUCUGGCUUCCAUGCCACGAAGUGGGCAUGAGCUCCAGUGGCCGAUGCUGGUGUUCUGGGCCCUAGAGGCUGCACGGCUGGGACCAAGCUGGGCUGGGCUGGCUCCCCUGGGCCUCUUCCUUGGCCGGCAGAAGCCGUUUCUUCCCCAGCCUCACGUGGCCGUCCUCUGUGCCUGUGUCCUGAUCUCUCAGGACUACGCCAGGCACACUGGAUGAGGCUCACCCGCACGACCUCACUUGGCCUCAGCUGCCUCUUGAAGACCCAUCUCUACACACGAGCACGUUCUGAGGUGUGCGUGGAUUUCAGGAGGACACCAGCCAUCGCAGGUGAGCAGGAGGCUCCACCGCAGCCAGUGGCCCCUUUCCUAGCCAGGGUCCUCCUCAGCAGCGUGGAGAAGGUCAGCCGGUUCCCUCGCGGGAGGCUGCGGCCAUCACCCGGAGGCUCCAGCACCGGCCGGCAUGGCGUCUGGCCCCAGGGUGUCCACACACUCCUGCCGUGGAGGGGAAGCGCAGCUGGAUGUCCGCUCCUGCCUUCUUCAGCUGCAGGCGGGACUGGGCGAGACACCGCGAGUCGAGUGGAAGCCUCUGUGGAACCAGCAGAGCAGAGGAGCAGCGCCCAGCCUCUCGGGCAGCGGCCAGCCAGCCGUCCUAUGGGAGCCUGGUGCCCCCACGUGCUCACUCCUGCCACCAGGGCUUCAGCACUGCCUGUCCUGGCACCAGGGGUCAGGAGAUGGCUCACAGGGGCUGGAAAGCUGCGAAGCAAACUCUGUGGGCAGCUGGCCCAGGGGUCUUCUCGUGGCCACCGUCUGGCAGCAUCACCCAAGGCAGCCAGUGCUGGCUACAGCAGGGCCGGGCUGGACACCCCUGAGCCUGCCCUUCAGUUACGCCUCACCUGCUGAGUGCUCUGUGUCCCACCAACAGGAGCCAGUCCCUGUUGCAAGUGGCUUCGGACCUCAGUUGGGAUGCCAACGUCCUCUUGCCCUUCUGGGAUUUUCUUCAGUGUCCAGGCAGCGUGGGUGUCCCUGAGCUGUGUUCACAUUGAGCUCUGCCCUGGCCGCUGCUGGGUCCCAGCCUUGCAUCUCUCUGCUGAUGCCCCCCUCAAGAUCGCACUUCCCAGGGCAGAGGCGCCUCUCAAUGGCCUGUGUCCCCAAGGCCAUGAAGGACAUGGGACACUCACUCAAGCCUAAGUUCUCAGUGCAGGUGUAGGAAGCGGCCUCAAAUGGAUGCUGUGUAAGUGUUGUUUGGAUGGACAGGUGGGUGGUGGGUGGAUGGGUGGAUAGGUAGGUGGGUGGGUGGAGAGGUGACUGGAUGAUAGAUGGGAGGAUGGAUGGGUGGAUGGGUAGAUGGGAUAGGUGGAUGGAUGGGUGGAUAGGUGGAUAGAUAGUGGAUGGAUGGAUAGCUGAAUGGAUGAUGGAUGGGUGAAUGGAUGAUGAAUGGAUGAUGGAUGGAUGGAUGGAUGGAUGGAUGGAUGGAUGGGUAGGUGGGUGGAGGGAGGAUGGAUGGGUGGGUGGAUGGGUGGAUGAAUGGAUAGGUAGAUAGAUAAAUGGAUGGAUGGAUAGCUGAAUGGAUGAUGGAUGGGUGGAUGGAAAGGUGAAUGGAUGAUGGAUGGGUGGGUGGAUGGAUAGGCAGACAGAUGAUGAACAUAAAGCAGUGACAUAACUAUAACGACUAGGGCAUGUUCUGUGCCCAGUGACACAGCUCAGAAAGACUGAUGGCUCCCAGGGGACAGGAAACUCACUGCUCAUGACAAGAAGAAUUCUACUAACAUAUGACUGCUCAAGGAAAGGCCGUAAAUGAAUGAAUGGACUUCCCAGCCCUUGUGUGGUGGCUCACGCCUGUAAUCCAGCUGCUAGGCGGCUGAGGCAGGAGGAUCACAGGCUCAAAGCCAGCCUCAGCUACUUAGUGAGGCCCUAAGGGGCUUGGUGAGACCCUGUAAAAUAAGUCCUGGGGAUGUGGCUAGUGGUAAAGCACGUCUGGGUUCAAUUUCCAGGACCAAA
rnacentral:lncRNA from 1 species